UGGGGAAUAUUGCGCAAUGGGGGGAACCCUGACGCAUCCAUGCCGCGUGAAUGAAGAAGGCCUUAGGGUUGUAAAGUUCUUUCGGUAUUGAGGAAGGUUGAUGUGUUAAUAGCACAUCAAAUUGACGUUAAAUACAGAAGAAGCACCGGCUAACUCCGUGCCAUCAGCCGCGGUAAUACGGAGGGUGCGAGCGUUAAUCGGAAUAACUGGGCGUAAAGGGCACGCAGGCGGUUAUUUAAGUGAGGUGUGAAAGCCCCGGGCUUAACCUGGGAAUUGCAUUUCAGACUGGGUAACUAGAGUACUUUAGGGAGGGGUAGAAUUCCACGUGUAGCGGUGAAAUGCGUAGAGAUGUGGAGGAAUACCGAAGGCGAAGGCAGCCCCUUGGGAAUGUACUGACGCUCAUGUGCGAAAGCGUGGGGAGCAAACAGGAUUAGAUACCCUGGUAGUCCACGCUGUAAACGCUGUCGAUUUGGGGGUUGGGGUUUAACUCUGGCGCCCGUAGCUAACGUGAUAAAUCGACCGCCUGGGGAGUACGGCCGCAAGGUUA
rnacentral:rRNA from 1 species